ensembl:lncRNA
CCCGCCCCCGGAGCCGGGACUCGAGGCCCCGGGGCUCCGGACGAGGUGUCAGAGGCCAGGGAGCCUCGGCGGCGGCCGGCGCCCACGCAGCCCCGGGCGGCCCAGCGAAGCGAGGGCGAGGUGAGGGGCGCGUCCACGGCCGAGCUCGAGCGGACGCUGGUUCCUCCUCCCGCGCGGGCUCCCGGGACAAUACGACACUGACCCUGGUCGUCGUCACGCUCCUUGCCCGGGAGCCGCUGCCGCCGGCUGGAAAGCAGAGGCCCGGGCGUGAGCGCCCCCCCUCCGGCAGGCCGCGCGGUAGCGCCGUCCCCGCCUCGCCCGCAUAAGGCAAGCGAGAAGGGACGCACUUCUGCCGCCUCGCAAAGCGGGGCGGAGCGGGCCGGCCGCUGGGGUUCGGUGGCGGGGGCCUGCCCGGAUCCCCCGAGGCGAGGAGGAUCGGGGCCUCGCAGCCUCCUCGCGACGGGCCAAGACCCUCUGGAGGAGGACAGCAAGUGAGGACUGGGGCGCCUGGAGGUCGCUAAGAUUCUCGCCCCCGGAGGGCGAGGAGGGGCUGCCUCUGCGAGCUGCCGCCCGCGAGUAGGGGACUCCGGCACGGAGGCUCCCCUGGGCGCUGCCUAUCCCCGGAGGGACAGGGAGCCUCCUAGCGGGGCCCGGCGCGCUCCCGACCCCAACGCGGAGCGACGGCUCCGACUCCGCCCUGCGGGCUGAGGGUCCCUCUGAACCCGAGCCCUGGCGGCCUCCUGCCGCCACCUGGUCACCGGGAGACGGCGAGUGGGGGCGGGGGUCUCGGCCGCUGCAGUGAAGGCAGCAGAGAGGAGCACGCGCUUCCAGAGCGUCCAGGAGAACUCGCUGAAAUAUGCCGCCCAGACAUGCCACACUGCAGGGUGUCCUUGGAGAUGCUGGGAAAAGAGAAGAACGGUGUACAGACGAGCUUAGAAUGCGGGAAUGAGUGAGGCUGGAGGGAAAGUAGUCGCUCCCGCUACCCCUGUCCAGGAGGAAGGUGCUGAUUGCAGCUUCCAGUCCUCUGGGCCGAGAGCAGGGGUUGCCGCUCCCAGCGCCGUCCUGCCUGGGCGCGGUCCCCGCCGCGUGUGCAAAGUACACACAGAAGAAGCAGGAGAGUGCUGGAAGGAAACACACCAGAGUGUUCGCAGUGGUUAACUACAGUAGUAAAUUGUGUGUGGUUUUCAUUUCCUGAUAUGGACUAUUGUCUGUUUUCUACAACUUUUCCAGAGUUUUUACAAAAGGCAUAGAUUGCCCUCACAAUCAGAAAAAAAUUAAAACUUUUGACAUUGAAAUGGCGUCUACAGUAUGAUCUCAAUAACACAAACAUGCGCUGGAAAGACAGGAAGGAAAUGUGAAGGACCGUUAACAGUACAUCAUAAUUUUUUUCUUUGAGGAAGAUUAGCCCUGAGCUAACUACUGCCAAUCCUCCUCGUUUUUCUGAGGAAGACUGGCCCUGAGCUAACAUCCGUGCCCAUCUUCCUCUACUUUAUACGUGGGAGGUCUACCACAUGGCUUUUGCCAAGCAGUGCCAUGUCCCCACCAGGGGUCCAAACCGGGGAACCCCAGGCCGCUGAGAAGCGGAAUGUGCAAACCUAACCGUUGUGCCACCUGCGGCCCCAACGGUAUGUUAUUAUUAUUGACAACUAAGAUAUGGUCUCCUGUUUUACUUUGCGCUUUUCAGUAUUUUCCAUCUGAUGGAUAGAGAAAAUAAAGAGUUUAGAAGUAAAUUAGGUCGUUUUCUGUUCAAAACUCAAGCCAUGAGGUUCCAAUGAAAUAAAUUCAAAAGCCCUUGGGAACUAUAAAACAAAGGGCCUGUGUGAGUGUCGUUAUGAAGAGGAGCUUACAAUGUUUCUCUCUGUGAAUUAGCAAUCGCUUUCCAGUGUAUUACCUGUCUCUCUGUACAUGAAUCUGUUCCUCUGUGGCAAAGGCAACUUGCAAAGAAGCUGAUCAAGAUUCCAGAACUACCGGUCAAACUAGGUCCUGGAGGUUUACUUCAAGCUCCAGUCCCAGGGGCCCCUCCAGCCUCUCCCCAACAUGGCUGUAUUGACGAGAGCAGCAGAUAGUGAUGAGAGCCAUGGCUGUUCCCUCCCCACCUGAACAAAGAAGAGAAAGGCUCAUACUGGUCUUUCUGGAGGUUAAAGAGCAACAGGAGGGCUUCACUUGAUUGACAAAUCUAGAUGACCUGCGUAUUCUGUGGAAUUAGGCUUUGACAUUUUCAUCCAGGUACCCACGGUCUGUGAUGUACAAUAGUUUGACUUAACGAUCAUUCGACUUUACAGUGGUGAAAAAAAAAUAUGCAUUCUGUAGAAACUGUACUUGGAAUUUUGAAUGUUGAUCUUUUCCAAGGCUGCUGAUAUGCGGCCUGAUGCUCUCAUGAUGCUGGGCACUGGCAGUGAGCCACAGCUCAUGGUCACCACUCUGUCACAAGGGUAAACAUCCAGCGCACUUGCAGCCACUCUGUGCCCAGACAACCAUGCUGAGUUUCCCUCUCAGUACAGUAUUCAAUAAAUUACAUGAGGUUGGGGCCAGCCUGGUGGCGCAGCAGUUAAGUUCACACGUUCUGCUUCGGUGGCCCAGGGUUCACAGGCUUGGAUCCCAGGUGCAGACCUUUACACCACUUGUCAGGCCAUGCUGUGGCAGGUGUCCCACAUAUAAAGCAGAGAAAGAUGGGCACAGAUGUUAGCUCAGGGCCAGUCUUCCUCAGCAAAAAGAGGAGGAUUGGCGGCAGAUGUUAGCUCAGGGAUAACCUUACUCAAAAACAAAUAAAUAAAUAAACUACAUGAGGUAUUAACACUUUAUUGUAAAAUAGGCUUCGUGUAAGAUGUUUUGCCCAAGUGUAGGCUAACGUAGGUGUUCUGAGCACAUUUAAGGUAGGCUAGGCUAAGCUAAGAUGUUCAGUAGGUUAGACGUAUUAAAUGCAUUUUCGACUUAUGUUAUUUUCAACUUUCAAUGCGUUUAUUGGGAUGUAACCCCACUGCAAGUCAGGGAAGAUCUGUAGUUCAUUUGUCUGAAAAUCAAUAAAAUGAUUUUUCAAGCAGACCCUAUAGGCAUCUUCUUCUUUCUGCUGAGAAAUUCAUGUACUGUACAUAGCAAUGUUUUUAAAGGCCUAAAUGUGCUUUUUUUAUAUAUAUUUUACUCUGAAUUUUAAUAUAUUUGAUUAAUAGAAAACACCUUCCUCUAGUGACAAACUAACAUUUGCAUAUUCCUUGAGGGUGUAAAGUUUUUUCAUGUGUAUUGACUUACUUCCAGCCUCAUAACAGUCCUAUGAGGAGGAUAAAGGAGUUUUUAUCACUUUAUUAAUAUGAAGAAAAUGAGGCACAAAGAUGUUAAAUGAAUAUCACAAUUCAGCAAAUAAGAAGUUGGAAACUCAAGCUCAGUUCUGACCACCGAUUCAGUACUCUAACAUCCACUGAUUGCCCGGGGAUGCUGAGAUGAUUAGUCUAAUUUUUGUAUUUCUCUAACAACAUUUCAGUAGAUCUCUGUUACAGAAAUCUCAGAAAGAAUACAUGGGGUCCUAUUCCACGAUUCUGGCGUCAGCCUUUGGGACCAGCACUGCUCUAUGAAUAUUGACCUCAUCCACUGAAAACACUUGUGGGGCAGAAGACAAGUGUAGGUAAGCUCCGUCUCUAUGCAAAGCCUAAAAGAUCUGUUGCUAGAGUAAAAUACUAUCUGAAUUUCACAGGGAAGAAAGAAGUGCCAUGGGAUGUACAUUAUGCACACAUUUUACCAUUACAAGCGACGUGGUAAUGAAUAAAGAGCUAAUUGCAAUCCUAAAUUUUCAUGAGAUACAAUAAUAAGGACAAAAAGAGUUACAAAGUAAUUAUCAUUUUCGAUUACGCAACUUACGUUAGCCUUCCAAGUAUAUAAAGAACAUAAAAUAUAGCUUUUAAAAGUAAUAUAUUCUCAGAAAAACUUUCAGAGUUGUAGCUCUUAGGUUUAAGAAAUCUUUAAAACAGAGUUUAAUAAAAAAUAAAUCUAUUUUCCAGUAUGAUGUUGUCCCAUGAUGUCCUCAUUUCUUUUUGUUUUUGCCACUUAUUACAAAGUUAUAAAAAUCAAAUGUAAAGUGCCUUAUCAUCUGAGCCUCUGAAUAUAAUAAAAAUCCCC